GACGGAGGCCCCGAGCGUUGUUCGGAAUCACUGGGCUUAAAGCGCGUGUAGGCGGGACGAUAAGUACCUUGUGAAAUCCCCGGCUUCAACCCGGGAACUGCUCGGUAUACUGUCGUUCUUGAGGCAAGUAGGGGUUACUGGAACCUUAGGUGGAGCGGUGAAAUGCGUAGAUAUCUAAGGGAACGCCAGGGGCGAAAGCGGGUAACUGGGCUUGUCCUGACGCUGAGACGCGAAAGCGUAGGGAGCAAACGGG
rnacentral:rRNA from 1 species